GACGAACGCUGGCGGCGUGCUUAACACAUGCAAGUCGAACGGAAAGGCCCUGCUUUUGUGGGGUGCUCGAGUGGCGAACGGGCGAGUAACACGUGAGUAACCUGCCCUUGACUUUGGGAUAACUUCAAGAAACUGGGGCUAAUACCGGAUAGGAGCUCCUGCUGCAUGGUGGGGGUUGGAAAGUUUCGGCGGUUGGGGAUGGACUCGCGGCUUAUCAGCUUGUUGGUGGGGUAGUGGCUUACCAAGGCUUUGACGGGUAGCCGGCCUGAGAGGGUGACCGGCCACAUGGGGACUGAGAUACGGCCCAGACUCCUACGGGAGGCAGCAGUGGGGAAUAUUGCACAAUGGGCGGAAGCCUGAUGCAGCAACGCCGCGUGCGGGAUGACGGCCUUCGGGUUGUAAACCGCUUUCGACUGUGACGAAGCGUGAGUGACGGUAAUGGGUAAAGAAGCACCGGCUAACUACGUG
rnacentral:rRNA from 1 species